rnacentral:rRNA from 1 species
AUUGAACGCUGGCGGCAGGCUUAACACAUGCAAGUCGAGCGAGAGGGGGGCAGGUGUGUGUUGUGGGGGAAACUGCGUGGUGGAGGGGGAUAACUUCUGAAAAGGGUAGCAAAUCCCGCAUAACAUCAGAUGUGCCCAGAUGGGUUUAGCGAGUUGGUGGGGUAAGGGCUCACCUAGGCGACGAUCCCUAGCUGGUCUGAGAGGAUGACCAGCCCAACUGGAACGUAGACACGGUCCAGACUCCUACGGGAGGCAGCAGUGGGGAAUAUUGCACAAUGGGCGCAAGCCUGAUGCAGCCAUGCCGCGUGUGUGAAGAAGGCCUUCGGGUUGUAAAGCACUUUCAGCGAGGAGGCGUUACUCGCAGAAGAAGCACCGGCUAACUCCGUGCCAGCAGCCGCGGUAAUUC